rnacentral:rRNA from 1 species
CCUGCCAGUAGUCAUAUGCUUGUCUCAAAGAUUAAGCCAUGCAUGUCUAAGAAUAAGCCCUUUUGAACGGCGAAUCUGCGAAUGGCUCAUUACAUCAGUCAUCAGUUCAUUUGAUGGUACCUUUCGCCUUGAAAUACAGGCUGGGCUACUUGGAUAACCGUAGUAAUUCUAGAGCUAAUACAUGCUACACUAAUGCCUUUUGUUCCUUUUUCUUGUUCUUCGGAGCAAGAGGUGGAGGAAUAGAGGGCAGCAUUUAUUAGAUUCAAACCAUCGGAGCAAACCUUGUUUGUUUCUUCUUUUUAGAAACGAUGGUGAGUCAUGAUAACUGAAGCGGAUCGGAAACACAAAAGGAACAAGAGGGAAGGGCUUCACUGCCUAUUUUUUUUUGUUUCUUUCCGAUGCUUCAUUCAAAUUUCUGCCCUAUCAGCUUUCGAUGGUAGGAUCUUGGCCUACCAUGGCGAUCACGGGUAACGGGGAAUCAGGGUUCGGUUCCGGAGAGGGAGCUUGAGAAACGGCUACCACAUCCAAGGAUGGCAGCAGGCGCGCAAAUUACCCAAUUCUGACAUAGAGAGGUAGUGACAAUAGGUAACAAUGCUGGACUGUUUUAAGCCAUUGGAGGGCAAGUCUGGUGCCAGCAGCCGCGGUAAUUCCAGCUCCAAUAGCGUAUAUUAAAGUUGUUGCAGUUAAAAAGCUCGUAGUCUGAUGGGGGGAUUGGUUUGUUUUUGGAAGUUUUGGAGUGCAAGUAGCAUUUAUGUUAUUUCAUUUCGGACGCUUCUAGAACUCCACUUCCUUUUUUGUACUUCUGACACUCUCUCGUCAAUUUGUUUUGGCCGAGAGAUCAGAUAGUUUACUUUGAGAAAAAUAGCGUGUUCAAAGCAGGCGUUGACUUACACUUGUUUGGUUUUCUUCACUGUCAAAAUCAAACAAAUGCCUAACCACUUGUGCUUUCUUUUACUAGAGAGUGCGACUUGAAUACAUUAGCAUGGGAUAAUAAAAUAGGACAUUGGUUCUGUGUUUCGACUCCGAUCUUGGCUGGCUAGUUUACUAGUUUGGCUGGUUCGAGGACCGAUGUAAUGGUCAACAGGGACAGUUGGGGACAUUCAUACUCCAUGGCUAGAGGUGAAAUUCUUGGAUUCAUGGAAGAUGAACCAGUGCGAAAGCAUUUGUCAAAGAUGUUUUCAUUGAUCAAGAACGAAAGUUAGGGGAGCAAAGACGAUCAGAUACCGUCGUAGUCUUAACCAUAAACGAU